GCUAAAAUAAUUUAUAUAAAAUAUUGGUCUUGUAAGCCAAAAAUAAGUUUAACUUUUUUAGCU
rnacentral:tRNA from 2 species